GAUGAACGCUGGCGGCGUGCCUAAUACAUGCAAGUCGAGCGAACAGACGAGGAGCUUGCUCCUCUGACGUUAGCGGCGGACGGGUGAGUAACACGUGGAUAACCUACCUAUAAGACUGGGAUAACAUCGGGGCACCGGAGCUAUUACCGGAUGAUAUAUUGAACCGCAUGGGUCAAUAGUUAAAGACGGUUUUUCUUUCAGUAAUGGCUGGAUCCGCGCUGGAUGAGCUAGUUGGUAAGGUAACGGCUUAGCCAGGCAAGGAUGCGUAGCCGCCCUGAGAGGGUGAUCGCACAGCCGGUAACUGAGGAAGGGCCCAGACUCCUACGGUAGGCCGCAGCAGGGAAUCCUCCGCGAUGCGCGAGUGCCUGAUGUUGCAACGCCGCGUGAGUGAUGAAGGUCUUCGGACCGUAAAAUUCUGUUAGUAGGGAAGAAGAAAUGUGUAAGUAACUAUGCACGUCUUGACGGUACCUAAUCAGAAAGCCACGGCUAACUACGUG
rnacentral:rRNA from 1 species